UUCAUACAUGCAAGUCGAACGAGAAGCUUAACUUCGGUUGAGUGGAAAGUGGCGGACGGGUGAGUAACAUGUAGGGAAUCUACCCUUGGGAUGGGGACAACAGCUGGAAACGGCUGCUAAAACCCGAUAUGAGUGUUAUUGAGAUAUAAUACUUGAAAACUCCGGUGCCCAAGGAUGAGCCUGCACCUGAUUAGCUAGUUGGUGGUGUAAUGGACUACCAAGGCGACGAUCAGUAGCUGGUUUGAGAGGAUGAUCAGCCACAAUGGGACUGAGACACGGCCCAUACUCCUACGGGAGGCAGCAGUAGGGAAUUUUGCGCAAUGGGGGAAACCCUGACGCAGCAACGCCGCGUGAUUGAAGAAGCCCUUCGGGGUGUAAAGAUCUGUCAGUGGGGACGAAAGAAUGACGGUACCCACAGAGGAAGCACCGGCUAACUCCGUGCCAGCAGCCGCGGUAAUACGGAGGGUGCAAGCGUUGUCCGGAAUCAUUGGGCGUAAAGCGUUCGUAGGCGGCAUAUCAAGUCUGGUGUUAAAGGCAGAUGCUCAACAUCUGUAGGGCACUGGAUACUGGUAAGCUUGAAUGCGGUAGAGGUUAAGGGAAUUCCUGGUGUAGCGGUGAAAUGCGUAGAUAUCAGGAGGAACAUCGGUGGCGUAAGCGCUUAACUGGGCCGUAAUUGACGCUGAGGAACGAAAGCCAGGGUAGCAAACGGGAUUAGAUACCCCGGUAGUCCUGGCCGUAAACGAUGGAUACUAGGUGUUGCGGGUAUCGACCCCUGCAGUGCCGAAGCCAACGCGAUAAGUAUCCCGCCUGGGGAGUACGCACGCAAGUGUGAAACUCAAAGGAAUUGACGGGGACCCGCACAAGCGGUGGAACAUGUGGUUUAAUUCGAAGCAACGCGAAGAACCUUACCAGGGCUUGACAUCUGAGAAUACGAAUGAAGUUUGUAGUGCCUUCGGGAGCCUCAAGACAGGUGGUGCACGGUUGUCGUCAGCUCGUGUCGUGAGAUGUUGGGUUAAGUCCCGCACGAGCGCAACCCACGUACUAGUGCUAUAUGGUAAACUGAUAUGAGCUCUCUAGUGAGACUGCCGGUGAUAACCGGAGAGUGUGGACGACGUCAAAUCAUCAUGCCUUAUGCCCUGGCUACAACGUGUACAAUGGGUAGACAAAGAGCAGCGACCUGCGAAGUGGCAUCUCAUAGUAUCUCGUCGAUCGUGAAUUCGCACUCGCAUACUGUAAUCGGAUCUCGCUGUUACGCGAAAUCACGCACGCGCUGCUGUUUAGAUC
rnacentral:rRNA from 1 species